UGGCUCAGGACGAACGCUGGCGGCGUGCUUAACACAUGCAAGUCGAACGGAAAGGCCCUGCUUUUGUGGGGUGCUCGAGUGGCGAACGGGUGAGUAACACGUGAGUAACCUGCCCUUGACUUUGGGAUAACUUCAGGAAACUGGGGCUAAUACCGGAUAGGAGCUCCUGCUGCAUGGUGGGGGUUGGAAAGUUUCGGCGGUUGGGGAUGGACUCGCGGCUUAUCAGCUUGUUGGUGGGGUAGUGGCUUACCAAGGCUUUGACGGGUAGCCGGCCUGAGAGGGUGACCGGCCACAUUGGGACUGAGAUACGGCCCAGACUCCUACGGGAGGCAGCAGUGGGGAAUAUUGCACAAUGGGCGGAAGCCUGAUGCAGCAACGCCGCGUGCGGGAUGACGGCCUUCGGGUUGUAAACCGCUUUCGCCUGUGACGAAGCGUGAGUGACGGUAAUGGGUAAAGAAGCACCGGCUAACUACGUGCCAGCAGCCGCGGUGAUACGUAGGGUGCGAGCGUUGUCCGGAUUUAUUGGGCGUAAAGGGCUCGUAGGUGGUUGAUCGCGUCGGAAGUGUAAUCUUGGGGCUUAACCCUGAGCGUGCUUUCGAUACGGGUUGACUUGAGGAAGGUAGGGGAGAAUGGAAUUCCUGGUGGAGCGGUGGAAUGCGCAGAUAUCAGGAGGAACACCAGUGGCGAAGGCGGUUCUCUGGGCCUUUCCUGACGCUGAGGAGCGAAAGCGUGGGGAGCGAACAGGCUUAGAUACCCUGGUAGUCCACGCUGUAAACGGUGGGUACUAGGUGUGGGGUCCAUUCCACGGGUUCCGUGCCGUAGCUAACGCUUUAAGUACCCCGCCUGGGGAGUACGGCCGCAAGGCUAAAACUCAAAGGAAUUGACGGGGCCCCGCACAAGCGGCGGAGCAUGCGGAUUAAUUCGAUGCAACGCGUAGAACCUUACCUGGGUUUGACAUGGAUCGGGAGUGCUCAGAGAUGGGUGUGCCUCUUUUGGGGUCGGUUCACAGGUGGUGCAUGGCUGUCGUCAGCUCGUGUCGUGAGAUGUUGGGUUAAGUCCCGCAACGAGCGCAACCCUUGUUCACUGUUGCCAGCACGUUAUGGUGGGGACUCAGUGGAGACCGCCGGGGUCAACUCGGAGGAAGGUGGGGAUGACGUCAAGUCAUCAUGCCCCUUAUGUCCAGGGCUUCACGCAUGCUACAAUGGCUGGUACAGAGAGUGGCGAGCCUGUGAGGGUGAGCGAAUCUCGGAAAGCCGGUCUCAGUUCGGAUUGGGGUCUGCAACUCGACCUCAUGAAGUCGGAGUCGCUAGUAAUCGCAGAUCAGCAACGCUGCGGUGAAUACGUUCCCGGGGCUUGUACACACCGCCCGUCAAGUCAUGAAAGUUGGUAACACCCGAAGCCGGUGGCCUAACCGUUGUGGGGGAGCCGUCGAAGGUG
rnacentral:rRNA from 1 species